AAAAUCCGUCGACUUUAAAAAUCGUGAGGGUUCAAGUCCC
rnacentral:tRNA from 3 species